GGUGGUCUAGGUUCAGUAUAGAAGAAGAGAGGUGGUGGUCUAGGUUCAGUAUAGAAGAAGAGAGGUGGUGGUCUAGGUUCAGUAUAGAAGAGAGGUGGUGGUCUAGGUUCAGUAUAGAAGAAGAGAGGUGGUGGUCUAGGUUCAGUAUAGAAGAAGAGAGGUGGUGGUCUAGGUUCAGUAUAGAAGAGAGGUGGUGGUCUAGGUUCAGUAUAGAAGAAGAGAGGUGGUGGUCUAGGUUCAGUAUAGAAGAAGAGAGGUGGUGGUCUAGGUUCAGUAUAGAAGAGAGGUGGUGGUCUAGGUUCAGUAUAGAAGAGAGGUGGUGGUCUAGGUUCAGUAUAGAAGAAGAGAGGUGGGGGUCUAGGUUCAGUAUAGAAGAGAGGUGGUGGUCUAGGUUCAGUAUAGAAGAGAGGUGGUGGUCUAGGUUCAGUAUAGAAGAAGAGAGGUGGUGGUCUAGGUUCAGUAUAGAAGAAGAGAGGUGGGGGUCUAGGUUCAGUAUAGAAGAAGAGAGGUGGUGGUCUAGGUUCAGUAUAGAAGAAGAGAGGUGGGGGUCUAGGUUCAGUAUAGAAGAAGAGAGGUGGUGGUCUAGGUUCAGUAUAGAAGAAGAGAGGUGGUGGUCUAGGUUCAGUAUAGAAGAGAGGUGGUGGUCUAGGUUCAGUAUAGAAGAGAGGUGGUGGUCUAGGUUCAGUAUAGAAGAGAGGUGGUGGUCUAGGUUCAGUAUAGAAGAAGAGAGGUGGUGGUCUAGGUUCAGUAUAGAAGAAGAGAGGUGGUGGUCUAGGUUCAGUAUAGAAGAAGAGAGGUGGGGGUCUAGGUUCAGUAUAGAAGAAGAGAGGUGGUGGUCUAGGUUCAGUAUAGAAGAAGAGAGGUGGUGGUCUAGGUUCAGUAUAGAAGAAGAGAGGUGGUGGUCUAGGUUCAGUAUAGAAGAGAGGUGGGGGUCUAGGUUCAGUAUAGAAGAAGAGAGGUGGUGGUCUAGGUUCAGUAUAGAAGAAGAGAGGUGGUGGUCUAGGUUCAGUAUAGAAGAAGAGAGGUGGUGGUCUAGGUUCAGUAUAGAAGAGAGGUGGUGGUCUAGGUUCAGUAUAGAAGAAGAGAGGUGGUGGUCUAGGUUCAGUAUAGAAGAGAGGUGGUGGUCUAGGUUCAGUAUAGAAGAGAGGUGGUGGUCUAGGUUCAGUAUAGAAGAAGAGAGGUGGGGGUCUAGGUUCAGUAUAGAAGAGAGGUGGUGGUCUAGGUUCAGUAUAGAAGAAGAGAGGUGGUGGUCUAGGUUCAGUAUAGAAGAAGAGAGGUGGUGGUCUAGGUUCAGUAUAGAAGAGAGGUGGUGGUCUAGGUUCAGUAUAGAAGAAGAGAGGUGGUGGUCUAGGUUCAGUAUGGAAGAAGAGAGGUGGGG